GACGAACGCUGGCGGCGUGCCUAAUACAUGCAAGUCGAACGCUGAAGGAGGAGCUUGCUUCUCUGGAUGAGUUGCGAACGGGUGAGUAACGCGUAGGUAACCUGCCUGGUAGCGGGGGAUAACUAUUGGAAACGAUAGCUAAUACCGCAUAAGAGUAGAUGUUGCAUGACAUUUGCUUAAAAGGUGCAAUUGCAUCACUACCAGAUGGACCUGCGUUGUAUUAGCUAGUUGGUGGGGUAACGGCUCACCAAGGCGACGAUACAUAGCCGACCUGAGAGGGGGAUCGGCCACACUGGGACUGAGACACGGCCCAGACUCCUACGGGAGGCAGCAGUAGGGAAUCUUCGGCAAUGGACGGAAGUCUGACCGAGCAACGCCGCGUGAGUGAAGAAGGGUUUCGGAUCGUAAAGCUCUGUUGUAAGAGAAGAACGAGUGUGAGAGUGGAAAGUUCACACUGUGACGGUAGCUUACCAGAAAGGGACGGCUAACUACGUG
rnacentral:rRNA from 1 species